UUGUGGUUAAAAAGCUCGUAGUUGGAUCUCAACAGCCUUGAAGCGGUUAACUUUGUAGUUUUACUGCUUUAUAGGCUGUGCUUUUGCUGGAGGUUUAGGGGUGCUCUUGAUCGAGUGUCUCUGGAUGCCAGCAGGUUUACUUUGAAAAAAUUAGAGAGCUCAAAGCAGGCUAAAAUGCCUGAAUAUUCGUGCAUGGAAUAAUAGAAUAGGAUGUCGAUCCUAUUUUGUUGGUUUUCGGGACUCGACAUAAUGAUAAAUAGGGACAGUCGGGGGCAUUUGUAUCCAAACGACAGAGGUGAAAUUCUUGGACCGUUUGAAGACAAACUACUGCGAAAGCAUUUGCCAAGAAUGUUUUCAUUAAUCAAGAACGAAAGUUAGAGGUUCGAAGGCGAUUAGAUACCGCCCUAGUUCUAACCAUAAACGAUGCCAGCUAGCGAUCUGCCUGCGUUUUUACUGUAGACUGGGCAGGAAGCUUCCGGGAAACCAAAGCAUUUGGGUUCCAGGGGGAGUAUGGUUGCAAAGCUGAAACUU
rnacentral:rRNA from 1 species